rnacentral:rRNA from 1 species
GGGAAUAUUGCACAAUGGGCGCAAGCCUGAUGCAGCAACGCCGCGUGAGGGACGACGGCCUUCGGGUUGUAAACCUCUUUUAGCAGGGAAGAAGCGGAAGUGACGGUACCUGCAGAAAAAGCACCGGCUAACUACGUGCCAGCAGCCGCGGUAAUACGUAGGGUGCAAGCGUUGUCCGGAAUUAUUGGGCGUAAAGAGCUCGUAGGCGGUUUGUCGCGUCUGCUGUGAAAACGCGAGGCUCAACCUCGCGCCUGCAGUGGGUACGGGCAGACUAGAGUGCGGUAGGGGAGAUUGGAAUUCCUGGUGUAGCGGUGGAAUGCGCAGAUAUCAGGAGGAACACCGAUGGCGAAGGCAGAUCUCUGGGCCGUAACUGACGCUGAGGAGCGAAAGCGUGGGGAGCGAAC